CUACGGGCGGCAGCAGUGGGGAAUAUUGGACAAUGGGGGGAACCCUGAUCCAGCCAUGCCGCGUGAAUGAUGAAGGCCUUCGGGUUGUAAAAUUCUUUUGGUGGGGAAGAUGAUGACGGUACCCACAGAAUAAGCUCCGGCUAACUUCGUGCCAGCAGCCGCGGUAAUACGGAAGGGAGCUAGCGUUGUUCGGAAUUACUGGGCGUAAAGGGCGCGUAGGCGGUAAGAACAGUCAGGUGUGAAAUCCCAGGGCUCAACCCUGGAACUGCGCUUGAUACUUUCUUGCUAGAAUUCGGUAGAGGUGAGUGGAAUUCCCAGUGUAGAGGUGAAAUUCGUAGAGAUUGGGAAGAACACCAGUGGCGAAGGCGGCUCACUGGACCGACAUUGACGCUGAGGCGCGAAAGCGUGGGGAGCAAACAGGAUUAGAUACCCGAGUAGUC
rnacentral:rRNA from 1 species